ensembl:lncRNA
GUAUUUAUUAUUGAAAAAUAUCUAAAUAUCAGGAUGAUUCUGCAGGGCCAUUGUGGUCCAGAGCUCCUGUAGAACUGACUGAGCCCUCUGUUGAGACUGCAUUGACGUUCAACUUCUCCCUUCAGACAACCCAACUUCCUUUAGUCUGUCUCAAGUCCUGAUCUUAAGGAGACCCCCAUUAAACUUCCUGCACAUGGAUUUUCAUGUCUCCAGAGUCUGCUUACUGAAGAAUGCAACCUAAAACAGAAAGAACAGCCCUACCACAGCAUUGGACACAAUACAGGAGACCGUGGGGCACGGAGGCCCAGGACUGGUUCAAUCAAUGGAAGCUCUAGUCUAAGCCCUCGCAGAUGUGCUGCUUAUUAAUUAUGUUGAUACACUAGGUCUAGAUUUGUGUUGAAGUUUCCUCUUAAAGAAGCCACAUGGAUUCCAAGUUACUCAGUUUCCUGGAGUGAGAUUGCAUGGCAGCCUGGGAUUUGCAAAUCUUCACCUGACAAUGAUGUUUAUGUAACAUUCCUGACCCCUGUGUCUGAGCAGCUUCCAAAGCCCAGAGACUCACUCUUAGUUCAGUCCCAGCACCGGUGCUGCCUGCCCUGCUAACAGCCUCCCUGAGCCUAGCCUUCUCUUUCUAUGAUCUGAUUUAAUUGUUAUGGCACUUUAUUAUUAUAAACCACCAUUUUAGAAAGUGUUGGGCUCAGUGGACAUGAGUUUGAGCAAGCUCUGGGAGUUGGUGAUGGACAGAGACCCCUAGUCCAUGGGGUCACAAGGUCGGACAUGACUGAGCGCCUGAACUGAACUGGACUAAGUGUAAUUUGAUCUCCAAGAUUCUGAACUCUUAGAAAAACCUCCGAUGCUGAAUUUCUCCUAAAACUUGUGUGUGUGCCCAGUCACUCAGUUGCGUCUGGUUCUCUGUGACCCCAUGGACUGAAACCCUCCAGGCUCCUCUGUCCAUGGAAUUCCCCAGGCAAGAAUACUGGAGUGGGUUGCCAUUUCCCUCUCCAUUUCUUUAACUUAACUUGCAUUAAAUAGGAUCUUCAUUUUGAUGGCCUUAAAUUCUCAGUGUCUCCCCCAAAACCUCCAUCCAUCACUGACUUUUUCCAUUUAUAGCAUUUUCAGCUCAGCCUCUAUCUUCAGCUCUCAUACUGUGAGUUGACCCUAAAUACUAGCUCCCCGGUAUCUAGUACUUAAGUAUGUACCAGGCAUCACAUGCUUUUCAGCAGGAGUUUGCAAAGGGUGGUUCUGCAGACCAGGAGCAACAGCAUCACUGCUAAACUUGUUACUAGGAAUACAAAUUCCCCAAACCCACCGAAGAUCUAACAAGUCAACAGCUCUGGGGGUGGGGAUCAGUAACCUAUGUUUUGAAAAAUACUCAGGUGAUUUGAGGGUACUUGCUUUAGUCUGAAAACCACUGCUUUACCCGCAGUAGCUUAUUUUAUUACAAAAGCCCAAUGCUAAAGGGCGUUGUUUAGUUGCUAAGUCAUAUCUGCCUCUUUGCCAUCCCAUUGACUGUAGCCCACCAGGCUCCUCUGUCCAUGGGAUUCGCCAGGCAAGAAUAUUGGAGUGGGUCACCAUUUCCUUCUCCAGGGAGUCUUCUUGACUCAGGGAUUGAACUCAUGUUUCCUGCAUUGGCAGGUGGAUUACUUCCCACCUGGGAAGCCCAAGACGAGGGUUACAUAGCCUUAUUCUACUUUACCAUGAAAAAAAAAAUAAAGGUCAACAGAGAUAACUGUACACAGCCUCACACAGUGCAGGUGGCAUGCGGCAAAUGAAACCCAGGGCUGAAAGCUUUGCAAGUCCCUCCUCUCCAGUUCCACUCCACGAAACCCCCACUUGGCUGACCUCCCAUCAGUUCUACUCUGCUGGUGACUAACUCGGGUAAACCAUGCUGCAUGCUUUCUUUGGGUACUAAGGUCUUUGAAUACUGCUGGGAGAGCAACCAAUAAAAAUGCCAAGUGUAUUUCAUUAUAAUAAAUGUAUAUUUUUACCCC